rnacentral:lncRNA from 1 species
UUCUGUCCAUUUCUUAUGUCAGGAAUCUCGCUACUUUCAAUAAUUUUGUUCUGUGAGGCUUUUUAACCUUUAUUUAGCUUUUCUUGUUUUACAAUAACUCCAAUCUUACACCAUCACUACCACAACACAACCAACUUAAAUCUAGAUCUAGAUAGAUAGAAUAGAACCCCCUUCACUUCAUUAUAGAGGAGAGGAAAAGGGAGCCAAAGUUGGGGGAAGGCAUAGGCAUGGGAUAGUAGGGAAGAAGUGAUAACAGCAUAUGCUUAUUAUGGUGCUUCUUCUUACCUACACCUCCCAUGCCUACGUUUUCCCUCUAUUUCUCCCUCUUCCCUUACUUUCAGCACCCUCCCUUCUCAUAUGGACAUGGUAAUUAACACUACUUCCAUCUUUAUUUUCAUUUUCAGUAUACAGAUCUACGUUUCUACUCUAUUUUUUUGCCUCAUUUUGUUUUGCAUUUCAACAUAUUUAUUAUUUUCUUAUAAGAAGAAUUAUCAAUUGGAAUAAUUUUUUAAUUGUUAUUGAUCCAUCAACAAAAUACAUCGAAGUUUGUAGUUUUCUUUAAAAAAAAAUAUCAAUCUUAGAAAAUUAGGUAGCUCAACUAGUUUGAGGUCUUCAAAUCUUAAACAAGGACAAAAAAAUUAACAUAACAUUCUACAUUUGCAUCCAACAAAAAUCUUAAAAAAUCAUUAAGAAGGAAAAUUUAUUUUUUCAAAACAAAAGAUAACUUAGAUCCAAUUUAACAAAAAGCAAAUACGGAGUAUCUCAUAUUUUUAUUUUUAAAGACAUUUUUGGUUACAUAUUUUUGAAGAAUUUAAUUUAUAUGUGUUCACUUUACACCUGAAAAAUAAAUUCACACAUGCAUUAACUGUUUUGUAGUUUUCAAUGUUUAUAUAGUUAUUUAAUAGUCCUUAUACAAAAAGGGUAGCAAAAAUGAGAUAGAUCUUAAUAGCAAAAAUGAAUUAUAUUAAACUAAAGGAGCUAUACGUCAGUUUAAAGAGUGUUAGGUUAUGACUCAAGAGAUUACAAUCGAAAUACAUAAUAAAAUCAACACAACCUUUAGCUAGAAAUCAAUCCAGCAUUUCAACUAGGUAACAAGAGUAAUGAAAAUCAAAAUUUAAGUUUGGAUUUGGAUCCUCUCCUAUCUUUUUUGUGCAGUCUCCUCUCCUUU